UAAUACGGGGGGAGCAAGCGUUGUUCGGAUUUACUGGGCGUAAAGGGCGCGUAGGCGGCGUGACAAGUCACUUGUGAAAUCUCCGGGCUUAACUCGGAACGGUCAAGUGAUACUGUCGUGCUAGAGUGCGGAAGGGGCAACUGGAAUUCUUGGUGUAGCGGUGAAAUGCGUAGAUAUCAAGAGGAACACCUGCGGCGAAGGCGGGUUGCUGGGCCGACACUGACGCUGAGGCGCGAAAGCUAGGGGAGCGAACGGGAUUAGAUACCCCGGUAGUCCUAGCCUUAAACGAUGAAUGCUUGGUGUCUGGGGUUUUAUAUUCCCCGGGUGCCGUCGCUAACGCAUUAAGCAUUCCGCCUGGGGAGUACGGUCGCAAGACUG
rnacentral:rRNA from 1 species